rnacentral:rRNA from 1 species
GUCGAGAAUCUUUCACAAUGGGGGCAACCCUGAUGGAGCGACGCCGCGUGGAGGAUAAGGUCUUCGGAUUGUAAACUCCUGUCAUGCGUGAACAAGGUUGCUUGGUUAAUACCUGGGCAAAUUGAUGGUAACGCAAGAGGAAGAGACGGCUAACUCUGUGCCAGCAGCCGCGGUAAUACAGAGGUCUCAAGCGUUGUUCGGAAUCACUGGGCGUAAAGGGUGCGUAGGUGGCGUGGUAAGUCAGAUGUGAAAGCCCGGGGCUCAACCUCGGAACUGGAUCCGAUACUGCCAUGCUAGAGUACUGGAGAGGUGACUAGAAUUCUCGGUGUAGCAGUGAAAUGCGUAGAUAUCGAGAGGAAUACCAAAGGCGUAGGCAGGUCACUGGACAGUUACUGACACUGAGGCACGAAGGCCAGGGGAGCGAACGGGAUUAGAAACCCCGGUAGUCC